UCUUCCCUCAGUUACUAAACUACAUUCUCUGCCUAAAACAAUAAAUCACCCUUUUCUAAAUACCUACAAUAUAAAGACUACAUAGUACUAUAAGCAUGUUUCCUCACUAAUAAGACAAUAUUUAUUUUCAUUUUCCUGUUUGUGCUUGGAGCUAAAACUCAGGA